rnacentral:rRNA from 1 species
UACGGAGGGGACUAGCGUUGUUCGGAAUUACUGGGCGUAAAGCGCACGUAGGCGGAUUUGUAAGUCAGGGGUGAAAUCCCGAGGCUCAACCUCGGAACUGCCUUUGAUACUGCACGUCUUGAGUCCGGAAGAGGUGGGUGGAAUUCCUAGUGUAGAGGUGAAAUUCGUAGAUAUUAGGAAGAACACCGGUGGCGAAGGCGGCCCACUGGUCCGGUACUGACGCUGAGGUGCGAAAGCGUGGGGAGCAAACAGG